UACGUAGGGUGCGAGCGUUGUCCGGAAUUAUUGGGCGUAAAGGGCUCGUAGGCGGUUUGUCGCGUCGGGAGUGAAAACACCGGGCUUAACUCGGUGCUUGCUUUCGAUACGGGCAGACUAGAGGCAUGCAGGGGAGAACGGAAUUCCUGGUGUAGCGGUGAAAUGCGCAGAUAUCAGGAGGAACACCGGUGGCGAAGGCGGCAUCCUGGACCAACACUGACGCUGAGGAGCGAAAGCCAGGGGAGCAAACGGG
rnacentral:rRNA from 1 species